CUCCUCGUCCCGCUACCUGCAGCGCCGUCUAUCCGUGCCUCCUUCCGCCGGACCGCGCCACCACGAAUCAUUCUUCUAUCCCAGCCGCCACCGUCGCCUGCCUCCCUUCCGGGCUGGCGCCAGGGCUCGGAUGAUGUCUACUUGUCUCGAGCAUCAUGCUUUUAUCGCGAGGACUGGUUUGUCUGCGAAACCCGAUGUUGUGAACACUCUUCGUAGAGCUGAUUGGCAGCGAGCAUCCAUUAUGCUAUCGAAUCUUCAGCAAACCAAGGAGGCAUUAACUUCGCAAGAUUUGUUUUCUAUAUAUUGGAGUACUGUGCAGAAGCACCUGGUCCUUUGGUAAAAUCUACUGCCGGAUGCAUAUUUCACUGAAAGCAUGGAGUUUGCUAUAGUCAUCUUGGGCAGUUCUAUUUUUUGGGGAUCUUUUCCCAUAUGUAUAGUUUGCUAUGGAGAUGUUGGAGAUCGUUGAGAAGAAGGCCAUAGAUAUUGGUAAAGGCAAUUACAGAUCUGUCACUCGAGCACUCACUGAAGGAGGGUAUUGCAAUGAGUUUUGCAGAGAAAUUUGUCUCUAGGUAUUAUAGUCCAAGCAUUAUUACUAUGAGGAAAUUUCGUGAAGGCUUUCUCUACAUUAGGUGACCUUGAAUCUGCAGUGUAUGGUCAUAUCUUGCAGCGUAUGGUAGUCCUUGCUGGAGAAGGCACUGACCAUCCGAGAGUGUCUUCCAAAAGGAGAUGCCAAUCAAAAAG